rnacentral:rRNA from 1 species
GACGGAGGAGGCUAGCGUUGUUCGGAAUUACUGGGCGUAAAGCGCACGUAGGCGGAUAUUUAAGUCAGGGGUGAAAUCCCAGAGCUCAACUCUGGAACUGCCUUUGAUACUGGGUAUCUUGAGUAUGGAAGAGGUGAGUGGAAUUCCGAGUGUAGAGGUGAAAUUCGUAGAUAUUCGGAGGAACACCAGUGGCGAAGGCGGCUCACUGGUCCAUUACUGACGCUGAGGUGCGAAAGCGUGGGGAGCAAACAGG